rnacentral:hammerhead_ribozyme from 1 species
GAAUGCUGACGAGUCGCGAACAGGACGAAACAGCCGUCCAGUGC